UACGUAGGGUGCGAGCGUUAAUCGGAAUUACUGGGCGUAAAGCGUGCGCAGGCGGUUUGUUAAGUCAGGUGUGAAAUCCCCGGGCUCAACCUGGGAAUGGCGCUUGUAACUGGCAGGCUAGAGUGUGUCAGAGGGAGGUAGAAUUCCACGUGUAGCAGUGAAAUGCGUAGAGAUGUGGAGGAAUACCGAUGGCGAAGGCAGCCUCCUGGGAUAACACUGACGCUCAGGCACGAAAGCGUGGGGAGCAAACAGG
rnacentral:rRNA from 1 species